ensembl:snoRNA
AUCCUUUUGUAGUUCAUAGCAUGAUGAUUGGGUGUUCACAUGCAUGUGUGAAAUGUGCCAGCCUUGAACCUUGUUACAACAUUGGCACAUGACCCAUCUGACC